rnacentral:rRNA from 1 species
GAUGAACGCUGGCAGAAUGCUUAACACAUGCAAGUCUUACGGGAAGCUGUUAUUGCACUGCCUAGCCAAGGCGGACGGGUGGGUAGCGCGUAGGGAACUUCCCCUGCUGCCAUGUCUAACAGACGGACACAACUGAUAAUACCCGGUAACGUCAGGCGGACUCAUGUCGAGACUGGUGAAAAGUGAUGCCGCAGGAGAGCCUUGGGGCCUAUUAGCGUGUUGGUGGUGUAAGGGCCCACCAAGGCGAUGAUAGGUAGCCGGCCUGAGAGGGUGGACGGCCACGAGGGGACUGAGAUACGGCAGUUACGCAUACGGGAGGCAGCAGGGGAGAAUAUUGGACCAUGGGGGCAACCGUGAUCCAGCAAUUCUGUGUGCACGAUGAAGUUUUUGGGAGUGAAAAGCGCUUGCAGCAGACAAGAAAAAAAUGACGGUACCUGCAGAAGAAGCGACGGCUAAAUACGUG